rnacentral:misc_RNA from 1 species
AAGUGUGCACAAUAGUAUUUAAAAUGAAUACCAAAAAGUCUGAAACAAAAGUGUGAAAGAGAAAUAAUAUUCCGAUUACAUGAGGACGGCAAAUCAUAUAACGAGAUUACCGGAAUUGUGAACAGAAGGAAGUCCACAAUACAUCAUAUCAUAAAAAAGUCAAAGAAUGAGGGAACACUUGCAAACAAAGCUCGAUCAGGUCGACCAAAGAAAUUGACUGGAAGAGAGAAGAAAGUUAUCAUUCGCGAAUUAAAAAGAAAUCCUACUACACCCGCUCCUUAACUCGCAAAGUACCGCGAAAGAAGCCAUAUAUUAAUGCGGUAAAUCGAUUGACUUUUGCAAAAACCUAUAUUAAUAAAGAUAAUUCUUUUUGGGACAAAGUCAUCUUUUCGGACGUGUCAAAGUUUAACAUUUUUGGCUCAGAUGGUCAAAAUUAUAUGUGGAGAAAACCAAAUACGGAAUUGGAAAUUCGACAUUUACAUCAAACAGUGAAAUACGGAGGUGGAUCGGUUAUGGUGUGGGGGUGCAUGGCUGCCAGUGGCACCGGAAAUUUGAUAUUUAUUGAUGGUAUACCUGAUAAAUAUAAGUAUUUAAAUAUUUUACAAAAUAACCUUAAAGAAAGUGCCCGUAAAUUAGAACGAUUUCCACUUCCAACAUGAUAAUGAUCCUAAGCAUACUGCUAGAAUUGUGAAAGAAUGGAUCGUAUAUAACACACCACACAUGUUAAUUACUCCACCGCAAAGUCCAGACGUAAAUCCGAUUGAAAAUUUAUGAGCUGAAAUCGGAAAAAGAUUAAACAAAUUUCAAGCAAGUAUUGAAGGAUAAAAUUAUAGAAAUAUGGAACUUCGUUGAGUGUAAUUUUACAAAAUCAUUGGUUUACAGUAUGGAACGUCGAUUGAGACACACUACUGCUGCUAAAGAUGGUCCAACAAAAUAUUAAUAUUAAAUAAUUUAAUAAUAUACGUAGCGUUCAAAUACUUUUGCGAGUCACUUACAAUGCGU